rnacentral:lncRNA from 1 species
GCCCCUUGUACAAUGAAGAAUGGUAUAAUGCUCUUGGCUAUAUUGGCACAAACCUGAUGAAUAUGGGAUCAAUGCCAUCAAGCUACAGAUGGAACCCCAAAUGACCUCAACUAACAACUUCUACCGAGGACCCCUGGACUGACCCGCUGACCCUUUGACUGGCCUAAAGAGUUCUCCUCUGGAGGACACUACAACUGCAGGGCCCCUUCUUCACCCCUAUCCAGCAGGAAGUAGCUAGCGCAGACAUCGCCCAAUUCCCAACAGCAGUUGGGGUGUCCUGUUUAGAGUGGGGCUUCUGGGUCAGGUGGGGACUUGGAUAACUUUUGUGUCUAGCUAAAGGAUAAUAAAUGCACCAAUCAGCACUCUGUAAAAUGGACCAAUCAGCACUCUGCAAAAUAGACCCAUCAGCAGGAUGUGGGCAGGGCCAAAUAAGGGAAUACAAGCUGGCCACCCGAGCCAGCAGCGACAACCCGCUCGGGUCCCCUUCCACACUGUGGAAGCUUUGUUCUUUUACUUUUCACAAUAAAUCUUGCUGCUGCUCACUCUUUGGGUCCACACACCUUUAAGAGCUGUAACACUCACUGCAAAGGUCUGCGGCUUCACUCCUGAAGUCAGCAAGACCAGGAAGGAAGAAACUCCGGACACAUUUGAACAUCUGAAGGAGCAAACUCCUGACACACCAUCUUUAAGAACUAUAACACUCCCCGCGAGGGUCCACAGCUUCAUUCUUGAAGUCAGCGAGACCAAGAACCCACCAGAAGAAACCAAUUCUGGACACAACAUGAUAUUAUUUAAGUGUCCCAAAUGCGUAACCUAAAUACAGCCAUGAGGAAACGUCAAAAGCACACAAAUUAAAGAACAGUCUUCUAAAUAACUACCUCAUAUUUUUUCAAAAAUAUCAAAAGUAGAAUAGCAAAAGACUUACAAACAGAUCUAAACUAAAGGAAACUGAAGAGACAAUGCAACCAAAUGCAAUGUUUGGUCCCAAAUUAGAUCUUGGCAAGAUAAAUAUAUCUAUAAAGUACAUUAUUAGGAAACUGUAUGAUCUUAGACAGUAGUAUUGUAUCUUUGAAUUUUAUAAUUUUCAUAAUUGUAAUCUGGCUGAGAUUCUUUUUUUAGGAAAUACUGAAUAAUUUGGAGUAUAGAAAUGAUAUUUGUGUUUUAUUUUCAAAAUGUUUAUAAUAUAUUGUAGAGAGUGAAAAAUCAAAUAUUACAAAUUAUUAAAAAUUGG